GCCGGGCGUGGUGGCUCACGCCUGUAAUCCCAGCACUUUGGGAGGCGGAGGCAAGCGGAUUACCUGAGGUCAGGAGUUCGAGACUAGCCUGGCUAACAUGGUAAAACCUUGUCUCUA
rfam:Nomascus leucogenys chromosome 6, whole genome shotgun sequence.